GGAUGUCAAGCAAUAUGUUUUUACUUCGAACUACAUUUGUCUGUUCCUACUGUUAUAAAUAUACCCUUUUGUUGUUUCAGUUUCAUGCAGAUGAUAUAUGUGGACAAAUGGACUGGCAAGGUAUGGAACAACUGCCUAUUUUCUGUGGCUGGAGAAUACAAAUACAAUAUCGACGAAUGCAAGGACCCAUAUCUAUGCCGUGGGAGGAUGCAGCAGUGCAUUAAUCUGGUUGGAAGCUACGAGUGUAAAUGCAAGAGCGGAACGAUGGUUGGCGCGGGAGGAGAAUGCAUAGAUAUAAUAUCUACAAUUGCUAAGGUGGUUGCCGGUUGGAGUGGGAGAAGUUGUAUAAGCUUAAGUGGCCA